GAUGAACGCUGGCGGCGUGCCUAAUACAUGCAAGUCGAGCGAACGGACGAGAAGCUUGCUUCUCUGAUGUUAGCGGCGGACGGGUGAGUAACACGUGGAUAACCUACCUAUAAGACUGGGAUAACUUCGGGAAACCGUAGCUAAUACCGGAUAAUAUUUUGAACCGCAUGGUUCAAAAGUGAAAGACGGUCUUGCUGUCACUUAUAGAUGGAUCCGCGCUGCAUUAGCUAGUUGGUAAGGUAACGGCUUACCAAGGCAACGAUGCAUAGCCGACCUGAGAGGGUGAUCGGCCACACUGGAACUGAGACACGGUCCAGACUCCUACGGGAGGCAGCAGUAGGGAAUCUUCCGCAAUGGGCGAAAGCCUGACGGAGCAACGCCGCGUGAGUGAUGAAGGUCUUCGGAUCGUAAAACUCUGUUAUUAGGGAAGAACAUAUGUGUAAGUAACUGUGCACAUCUUGACGGUACCUAAUCAGAAAGCCACGGCUAACUACGUGCCAGCAGCCGCGGUAAUACGUAGGUGGCAAGCGUUAUCCGGAAUUAUUGGGCGUAAAGCGCGCGUAGGCGGUUUUUUAAGUCUGAUGUGAAAGCCCACGGCUCAACCGUGGAGGGUCAUUGGAAACUGGAAAACUUGAGUGCAGAAGAGGAAAGUGGAAUUCCAUGUGUAGCGGUGAAAUGCGCAGAGAUAUGGAGGAACACCAGUGGCGAAGGCGACUUUCUGGUCUGUAACUGACGCUGAUGUGCGAAAGCGUGGGGAUCAAACAGGAUUAGAUACCCUGGUAGUCCACGCCGUAAACGAUGAGUGCUAAGUGUUAGGGGGUUUCCGCCCCUUAGUGCUGCAGCUAACGCAUUAAGCACUCCGCCUGGGGAGUACGACCGCAAGGUUGAAACUCAAAGGAAUUGACGGGGACCCGCACAAGCGGUGGAGCAUGUGGUUUAAUUCGAAGCAACGCGAAGAACCUUACCAAAUCUUGACAUCCUUUGACAACUCUAGAGAUAGAGCCUUCCCCUUCGGGGGACAAAGUGACAGGUGGUGCAUGGUUGUCGUCAGCUCGUGUCGUGAGAUGUUGGGUUAAGUCCCGCAACGAGCGCAACCCUUAAGCUUAGUUGCCAUCAUUAAGUUGGGCACUCUAAGUUGGCUGCCGGUGACAAACCGGAGGAAGGUGGGGAUGACGUCAAAUCAUCAUGCCCCUUAUGAUUUGGGCUACACACGUGCUACAAUGGACAAUACAAAGGGCAGCGAAACCGCGAGGUCAAGCAAAUCCCAUAAAGUUGUUCUCAGUUCGGAUUGUAGUCUGCAACUCGACUACAUGAAGCUGGAAUCGCUAGUAAUCGUAGAUCAGCAUGCUACGGUGAAUACGUUCCCGGGUCU
rnacentral:rRNA from 1 species